rnacentral:misc_RNA from 1 species
AGCAGCCGCGGUAAUUCCAGCUCCAAUAGCGUAUAUUAAAGUUGUUGCAGUUAAAAAGCUCGUAGUUGAAUUUCGGGAUUGACGUGAUGGUCGUGCCUUAAGGGGUAUGAACUGUCGCAGUUGAUUUCUCACCUUCUGGAGAAGCAUGAUGUCCUUAAUUGGGUGUCAUGUGGAACCAGGACCUUUACCUUGAAAAAAUUAGAGUGUUUAAAGCAGGCAUUUUGCUCGAAUACAUUAGCAUGGAAUAAUAGAAUAGGACGGCAUGGUUCUAUUUUGUUGGUUUCUAGGAUCACCAUAAUGAUUAAUAGGGAUAGUUGGGGGCAUUAGUAUUCAAUUGUCAGAGGUGAAAUUCUUGGAUUUAUUGAAGACUAACUACUGCGAAAGCAUUUGCCAAGGAUGUUUUCAUUAAUCAAGAACGAAAGUUAGGGGAUCGAAGACGAUCAGAUACCGUCGUAGUCUUAACCAUAAACUAUGCCGACUAGGAAUCAGACGAUGUUAAUUUUUUAAUGACUCGUUUGGCACCUUACG